AGGGUUCCCCCACCAGCGAAGUGGUGCAAGCCCUGAUAAUGGGACAAGGCUACUUUGGAAGCCCAAGCAAAGGGCUGAAUUUAAAGAGCCCAGAGCAGGGGCUGAAGACCCUGGUGAGAGCAGACAGUUUUUUGUUGGAUUCUUUGCUAUCCCUAGAAGGGGUUCAUUUUGACUGUGUGACCCAGUUUGAGGAUGGAGCCAAUGAAGACCUGCCAAGUGAGGCCAACAACCUAUAGGUGGUGCCAGGAGUGGGAAAAGGACCGCGCAGCAGCAGGAGGCACUCAAGAGAUAAACCCACCUGUGGCAUGUUUAUGAACAUUCUCACACUUCAGGAAUACAUGAAGGAGACCAUCCUGGAGCCACUUGACCACAAGACCCUGGAUCAGGAUGUGCCCUAUUUUGCUGAUGUGGUAAGAUUGGAGCUAUGUCCUGCAUGAUGAAGCAGUCUUGGUCCAGAGAGUGGAACAUAUCCUGAAAAUAUUUCACCAUGGGGUACGCUGUAUUAACAUCAGUUGCCAGAGAAGGAAUCAUUCCACAGUAGCCAAUACUCAUAAAAUAGCAGACAGAAAAACUUUUUCUAAAAUCAGUCCUUUAUAUAAAUAAUGAUAGAUAUUUUGAUGUAUUAUAAAGUAUGAACAAUCUCAUAGUGUCAUGUGAUAACAGACUUUUGUUUUAACCAAAGGGAAAAAAUACAGCAAAAUGCAUAAAAUAUAUCUCCUGGGGCUAAAUAUUUCCCAAACUUUCCAAAACUGUUAAUUUUAAGUAUAUAAGUGCAUUAUCAUUUGCAUUUAGAAACCAUUUGCCAAUUUUGGUCAAAAUUAGACUACAUUUCUUGAGUUAUGGCUCUUCUUGUGAUUUGAUAAUUUUUUUUCAGUUUGGAUGUCCCAGAACAAUCAAACAUUAUAUGCUGUAAAAAAACCAGCACCACUUCCAACAUCUAUAUCCACCCCGGUGAUGACCACCAGCUGUGUCCCUAACAAUGUGGUAGCAAUGACAUUUUUCUAGCUGAUACAUUACACUAAGUCAUUAAUAAGCCCCUUUUAGAUGUGGCUGGUAGACGAUAGGCAAAACUUGCUGGAGAAAUG